ACGAAAGUGUAUAAAAGAGCAACCGAGAUCCUGAUCUCGGCAUAACACAUCUUUUUGUGCAACUACAUUCUUUGUUUUCGUUUUAAUCCUCAAAAACCAACUAACAAAUCAAAAAUGGGCGCUGAAAAAGUAACCAUGAACAUCGUUGUCGUAGGACAAGUCCAAUCUGCCAAGGCCGUCAAAAUUGUCGCCAAGGCCACACCAGCCACCAGCCAAUUGAUGAACUGUUAAUUCAUGUAGCACAUGCAUCUCAAAAUUCAAAAAAAUGCCAUAGCCCAAACAAUACUUUAAUAAUAUAUGUCAUGUAUAUCAGUAUUGACACCAAAUAAAACUUUCCGAUAUGCAUAACUA